AACCUACGGGAGGCAGCAGUGGGGGAUAUUGCACAAUGGGGGGAACCCUGAUGCAGCGACGCCGCGUGGGUGAAGGAGCGUUUCGGCGCGUAAAGCCCUAUCGGCAGGGAAGAAGAUGACGGUACCUGACCAAGAAGCCCCGGCUAACUACGUGCCAGCACCCGCGGUAAUACGUAGGGGGCAAGCGUUAUCCGGAUUUACUGGGUGUAAAGGGGGCGCAGACGGCGAUGCAAGCCAGGAGGGAAAGCCCGGGGCCCACCCCCGGGACUGCGCUUGGCACUGCGUGG
rnacentral:rRNA from 1 species